GCGUUGUGAUGAUGAAAAGUAUUUUAAUCCGACUAAAUUAUAUGAAUGGAUAAAUAACCUCCUACUCAUUCUGA